UGGAUUAAGAACUGGUGGUCAACUUAAGGCCAGCUGGAUUACAUCAGCAUGGCAUUGAGUGAAGAUGCUCCACCUGAGGAAAGUUGCCAGGAUAAAUAGGUGGAGAAGAAGGGAGAUGUUGAGGGUUGAGGCAUUAAGGAGGCAUUGUGGGUUCGCCUACGAGUUGCUGUCUGAGCUGUUGGUUCUCCUGGAGAGGCUUUGGUCCUCACAUCUAGCAUUGCUUCCUGGCUCCAGAGGGGAAGACAUGUGCUGCUUGGUCUUCAGGAUAAACUCGUCACGCUGCUUUCUGGCACUUACCCGACUGUUCUUGUCACUGGAGGAGCUCGGGGCCUCCGUGUCAUCGAGGAUGUCUGUGGUGCCUUUCAGGACAGCCCUAGUCUUUGUUGGCAUAUGUAAAUUUUUGGAGAAUGACAAUGUGAAUUCUGAACAGAACAUGAGAGUGCUUUCUUCAGGAUGCAUCUGCUCAGAGAGGUGAUGAGUCUACAAGAUGAAAAGGUUUUUCAUAGAAAUCUACCCUAAGCUCUAGACUUCCAGGAAGAUGACAGAGUUGUGAGUAGCAGAGAAAAAGCCUCUCGGGGAUUUGGUGUCCAAAUCAUGGAAUAUAGCAAUAUGAAGAGCAGGAGGAGGGAAGUAUGUCUCUGGGACCCAGAGGGAUCUAAAGCAAGAACUGAAGCCCACAGGAAGAGUGAAGAGAGAAACUUCCAUGAAGAAGAAGGAUGUAAGCUGCACUUUCUCACUUAGCCUGGCUGGACUCACUGCAUGGGAGAGGCAGCUUGAAACUGCAAACACUUAGUGACUCCUGGUGACCCCAGAGCUUUCACAGAGAAGGGCACUGGUGGAGUGGAGUGGGGAACUGCAGUGGACAACAGUUUUCUAAUGUUUGUAUGAUAUUCCUUUGUCCUCUAGCAUUACUUCUAAUUGCUUCUUUUCUUCUAUUACUCUAUUUUUCCUCCAGGCCCUUAUAAAUUUUCUCCUGUUAGGGUAAAAUUGUUAUAUGAGGGUUUAUUUACUGCAUACAAUUUUCUGGUUUGUUUUAUAACCACAAAUAUAGUUCAUAUGGUUAACAGUAGCAAAUUAAUAAUUGUCAUAGGUUUGUCUUUUUUUUUUUCUUUUGUAUUGGGGAUUGAGCUCAUGACCUCACAUUGUUAGGUAGGUGUUUGUGCUGCUGAGCUAAAUCCCCAUCAUUUGUAAUUUUUCCAGGCUACAUUUGAUGCUGUUGAUAUUGUUGAUUGUAUCACUUUAACUAAAAUAACAUAAUUGUUCUUACUAGUUGUUUCUCCUGAUAUACCAAGACUGAGAUUGCUUAAUGGUCAUAAAAAAUAUUAGAGGCCAGUGCAAAAAACUAGGUGCUGGGCCAUAUAGGCAAUGUCUUCUUGUAUCCAACAAAUUGAAGAGAUGAGAUCUUGUAUUAAAUGCUAAAUCCAAAAUCCAAAUAUAUCUGGGAAAUGUAGUCAUUUCCGAAAGUUCUAAAUAUUAGCAAUAAGGCUACUCAUCAUAGGUAAUUUGCAAGCAUCAAUCCAGGAAUUAAACUAAAAAGAUAUUUAAGCAACAUUCAGUCUCAGGUAUGUAGCUCACCAAAGGUGAAUAUAGGUAUUACUGAAAUGAAACAGUCCAAAAGCUUCUCAUCUGGAUUCUGAAGUGGUAACAGUGGAAGUCACUAAGCAGAUG